UGAAUAUAUGUAGCCGCAACUGUGCGCUCGGUUGACAAAUGGAGCCGCAGUAGUCAGGGAUUUUUUUUUGGACUAAAAGGCAUGGGUCUUUGUUUUUUUUGACAAGCAUAGAGAUUGAUUGGGCUUUGUGAGAUUUAAGUAUUGAUGGUUGUUUCACUAUUUUAUUUCAUGGAAACAAAAUCAGGUCUUUACAAGUUUCAACACCUUCAUUUAUGCUACUGUUGAACCACAACAAAAAUUACCCAAUUCAACUACGACAUGUCAUUACACAAAUUAAACAUUCACCCACCAAUUCAAGACACAGGAUUGACAAUCGGAACUAAGUAACGAAGACUUCCACAUAGGACCCUCACUUGGAUCGGAACCACCUGAUGGCCGGAGUACCUGACCUAUUGAACUGACGGUGGAGGCCACAAGACAGCAACGACCAACACCCAAACGAUGCCUUGCUGGAUUUCUCGAAUGCCGCCUGACAGGAAAUCGACCGCAGGAAGGGAGCGACUGACCAUCCGACGCUGACGACCUACCUCGCCCACUUUCACUCGACCGCGGCGAAUGACAACCUUCACUGACGAGCGGGGGAUCACGCCGUCAGAAGAAGCAAUCUGUUGGAGCCACCAAUAGCCGCAUGCGACACUGAUAGCCGCCGACAUAGACGUCACAUACGUUCUGGGAGCCAGUGUCAAGUAAGACACAAACGCAACUGAGAGACGCUGGGGGGUGAGGCCAGCAACGUCACCUUCGGAAC
rnacentral:lncRNA from 1 species